rnacentral:rRNA from 1 species
UGGCGGACGGGUGAGUAACGCGUGGGUAACCUGCCUUGCACUGGGGGAUAACACUUAGAAAUAGGUGCUAAUACCGCAUAAGCGCACGGUCCUGCAUGGGACAGUGUGAAAAACUCCGGUGGUGCAAGAUGGACCCGCGUCUGAUUAGCUGGUUGGCGGGGUAAAGGCCCACCAAGGCGACGAUCAGUAGCCGGCCUGAGAGGGUGGACGGCCACAUUGGGACUGAGAUACGGCCCAGACUCCUACGGAAGGCAGCAG